UGGCGAACGGGUGAGUAACGCGUGAGGAACCUGCCUCAAAGAGGGGGACAACAGUUGGAAACGACUGCUAAUACCGCAUAAGCCCACGGGUCGGCAUCGACCUGAGGGAAAAGGAGCAAUCCGCUUUGAGAUGGCCUCGCGUCCGAUUAGCUAGUUGGUGAGGUAACGGCCCACCAAGGCGACGAUCGGUAGCCGGACUGAGAGGUUGAACGGCCACAUUGGGACUGAGACACGGACCAA
rnacentral:rRNA from 1 species